GGCCGACCCAUCCAGCGGUGCAGCGGCCGGCCGGGUAGGCGCCAGGACCCCGAGCCUCGGCGGCGGCGGCGCUGCCUUCACUCAUCUCGUCCUCGCUCCCGUCCUACCCCGUUCCGCGCUGGGUGGAGUCCAAGUCUGAUUGCGAGGGUCCGGAACGCCGCCUCGGGGGCUUGACUCCAGCCCCGGGGAUCCAGAACGGCGCCCGGGGGUCCCUACGUCUGCCUUGGGGGCUCGAGUCCCUUCCUGGGCGUCCGUGACGUCGCCCAGGGGUCUCCACGUCUGCCCUGGAACCUGGAGAGCCGCCGUGGGGGUCCCGGAAGCCGCCCAGGAGUCCCCACGUGUGCCCUGGGGGCUCUUGUCCAGCUCUGGGGGGUCCCGGACGCCACACAGGGGGUCCCCACGUCUGCUUUGGGGGCUCGAGUCUAGCCCUGGGGGUCCUGGACGCCGCCUCGGCGUCCCCGCGUCUGCCUUGGGGGCUCGAGUCCCGCCCUGGGGGUCCUGGACGCCGCCUCGGCGUCCCCGCGUCUGCCUUGGGGGCUCGAGUCUCGCCCUGGGGGUCCCCGAUGCCGCCUGGGGGUCCUCACGACUACCUUGGAGACUGGAGUUCCCCUUGGGAGUCCCGGACGCCACCCCGGAGUCACCGCGUCUAGCUUUGGGGGCUUGAGUCCAGCCCUGGGGGUCCCGGACGUCCCCGAGGAGCCCCCACGUCUGCCUUUGGGGCUUGAGUCCAGCCGUGGGGGUCCCGGACGUCGCCGAGGAGCCCCCACGUCUGCCUUUGGGGCUUGAGACCUGCUCUGGGGGUCCCGGACGCCGCCCAGGGUCUCGCUCUGUCACCCAGGCUGGAGUGCAGUGGCGUGAUCUCGGCUCACUGCAACCUCCGCCUCCCGGGUUCAAGCGAUUCUCCCGCCUCAGCCUCCCGAGGAGCUGGGAUCACAGGUGUGCACCACCGCGUCCGUCUCAUUGUUAAAUUUUUCCUAGAGACGAGGUUUCGCCACGUUGCCCAGGCUGGUCUCAAACCCCUGAGCUCAGGUGAUCCCCCCACCUCGGCCUCCGAAGGCGCUGGGCUUCCAGGCGUGCAGAGGGCUCUUCGUCUACACGCAUCACUGGAUUUUCUACCCACGGGGACACGUGACCCCAGCGAGGUGGUCAGGGAGUCGUCGCCGGCCGGCGCUGCAGCCCAGGGAUGAUGACGGCUCUAGGAGGUUGGUUGUGGAGCACAGAUGCCGGCGGUGUGGGCACGAGGCCCUGCACCUGCGUUUCUCCUGCACAGGCCCCGGAACCCCGGGAUGGGAUCGCUGUGGAGUGAUGAAGUCAGUGGGCUCUCGGCGAGGCUGGCGGAUGGGAGUCGGCAGCAUCCGGGCUGGGCCCCUGAGGCUUGGCUCCCUCUCUGCACCCCAGGGGUCCCACAGGCUGGUGACAGCGCGACUGAAGGCCACGCUCCAGUCAGGAGGCCGUCCCACGUGUGACCCCAGGCUGGGAUGCACCGGUGCGAUCUCAGCUCACUGCAACCUCCGCCUCCCGGGUUCAAGCGAUUCACCUGCCUCAGCCUCCCGAGUGCCCGCCACCACGUCCGGCUAAUUUUAGUAGAGACGGGGUUUCACCCCGUUGGCCACGCUGGUCUUGUACUCCUGGCCUCCGGUGAUCCGCCCGCCCUGGCCUCCUCAAGUGCUGGGAUGACAGGCGUGAGCCGCUGCGCCCGGCCCCCAUGGCACUUCGAGUCCCACGUUGCAGGUAGGUUUUGUCAACUUCCUGGUCAGCACACCCGUGUGCAUAGCUUGAUUCAUUGUGUGGCCAAGCUGAGAUCACUUAAGCCCAGGACCAGCCUGGGCACCAUAGUGGGACCCUAGGUUUUCCUUUUCUUUUUUUUUUUUUUUUUGAGACAGAGUCUCGCUCUGUCGCCCAGGCGGGAGUGCAGUGGCACGAUCUCAGCUCACUGCAAGCUCCACCUCCCGGGUUCACGCCAUCCUCCUGCCUCAGCCUCCCGAGUAGCUGGGACUACA